AGUGGAAGCGUCUGGAAAGGCGCGCGAUACAGGGUGACAGCCCCGUACACAAAAGCGCAUGUGCUGUGAGCUCGAUGAGUAGGGCGGGACACGUGGUAUCCUGUCUGAAUAUGGGGGGACCAUCCUCCAAGGCUAAAUACUCCUGACUGACCGAUAGUGAACCAGUACCGUGAGGGAAAGGCGAAAAGAACCCCGGCGAGGGGAGUGAAAAAGAACCUGAAACCGUGUACGUACAAGCAGUGGGAGCACCCUUUGGGGUGUGACUGCGUACCUUUUGUAUAAUGGGUCAGCGACUUAUAUUCUGUAGCAAGGUUAACCGMAUAGGGGAGCCGSAGGGAAACCGAGUCUUAAYYGGGCGUUAAGUUGCAGGGUAUAGACCCGAAACCCGGUGAUCUAGCCAUGGGCAGGUUGAAGGUUGGGUAACACUAACUGGAGGACCGAACCGACUAAUGUUGAAAAAUUAGCGGAUGACCUGUGGCUGGGGGUGAAAGGCCAAUCAAACCGGGAGAUAGCUGGUUCUCCCCGAAAGCUAUUUAGGUAGCGCCUCGUGAAYUCAUCUCCGGGGGUAGAGCACUGUUUCGGCUAGGGGGCCAUCCCGGCUUACCAACCCGAUGCAAACUGCGAAUACCGGAGAAUGUUAUCACGGGAGACACACGGCGGGUGCUAACGUCCGUCGUGAAGAGGGAAACAACCCAGACCGCCAGCUAAGGUCCCAAAGUCAUGGUUAAGUGGGAAACGAUGUGGGAAGGCCCAGACAGCCAGGAUGUUGGCUUAGAAGCAGCCAUCAUUUAAAG
rnacentral:rRNA from 1 species